AAUACGUAGGGGGCAAGCGUUGUCCGGAAUUACUGGGCGUAAAGCGUGCGCAGGCGGUUUCGUAAGUCUGUCGUGAAAUCCCCGGGCUUAACCUGGGAAUGGCGAUGGAGACUGCGAGGCUAGAGUUUGGCAGAGGGGGGUAGAAUUCUACGUGUAGCAGUGAAAUGCGUAGAGAUGUGGAGGAACACCGAUGGCGAAGGCAGCCCCCUGGGUCAAAACUGACGCUCAUGCACGAAAGCGUGGGGAGCAAACAGG
rnacentral:rRNA from 1 species